rnacentral:rRNA from 1 species
GGUGAACGCUGGCGGCGUGGAUAAGGCAUGCAAGUCGUACGCUCUGUACCAUAUUUUGGUACGGAGAGUGGCGAACGGGGCAGUAACACGUGUCUAACUCACCCUUCAGUUGGGCAUAACUAAUCGAAAGAUUAGCUAAUUCCCAAUGGUCCCUUGUUUACAUAAGUAGACGAGGGUAAAGCCUUACGGCGCUGAAGGAGAGGGGCGCGGCCGAUCAGCUAGUUGGUGAGGUAAAAGCUCACCAAGGCUAAGACCGGUAGGGGGCCUGAGAGGGUGUUCCCCGCCAAUGGUACUGAGACACGGACCUUACUCCUACGGGAGGCAGCAUG